CCACAGGAGCUGGGAGGUGGGGUGGGCAGACUGCAGCUCUACUGUCCCCUGGGUCCUUCCUGCC
rnacentral:miRNA from 1 species